ACAGACACUUUAGUCAAAGCGGUGCGAUUUUCUGUGGAGUAAAACGAGCACCGUGGUUUGGACGCGAGGGGAAACUGAGGUGGGAAGUUUGCCCACUUUGAUCUUCAGCCUUGGAGGAAAGACGCGCUGAUUCACGGACAUUACGAGAUGCGUGACGACGUUAAAUGUCAUUCAACUGCGCGCACCGCGGUAAGACAUGUGCGAAGCUGCAACGCCGGCCGGGCGCCGCCGCAUUGUCAUUUCUGAAGCAGCAUCGUCGCGGUGAACCUGACAAAGGACAUCCCUGAUGCGUGCCCUGCCUUCCUGGGAUGGAUUCCAGACUCCGCGUGACCCUGAACCAGAUAAGUGGAAGUCUCAGGACUGGAGCCCAUCCAUGGGACUUAGAGAUCGGAGGAUGAAUCAGAGGACCUUAUCUGGCAACCUCGUAUGAACAGGUGGCGGAGGCCGAGGGGCAAGUUACAUACAAACAAACACUUUGGUUUCUGAUUUAAAGGAGCAAAACCAGUAAAUCUCCAAGAACCUGAGCACCAUGCCUGAAUGGACUUCCUUUAUACAGCCAUCAACUAAACUCACAAAUAAGAUUAAGAAUACCUGUGUCAUCCCACAGUGUGGCACUCCAGUGACAAUGCAGAGAAAAAAAAGUUAAGAAAAUUGAUAAAAAGACGGUGUAUAAAAAUAUACAACUAUAUGAAUUUUAUAUCUAUACAUGAAACAAGUGAAUCCACCAAUGGCCUCUGUGAUUCAUGAAAAGUGCAGUAAAUGGUGCCUUUAAGCACAGAUCGGCCAUUGUGACAGUGACUUGCGCCUGAUUGGCUCGGACGGCCGACUUGCCAUCUGGGGGGGAUGGAGAGUCAGUGGGGCCAAGGCAGCUGCAAAGGGAGUGUCUGGCUGACCUCGAACGCGGAGGUCCCGACCAAACGGCGUCACGGCACCGGCUCCAAGUCACAGCACGGCAGUCUAAUCCAUGUAACAGCUUCACAUGUAACAGCUUCACAUGUAACAGCUUCACAUGUAACAGCUUCACAUACACACUUUGCUAAAGGCUCCUAUAUUUACCCCCAGGAUAUAUACAUGUAUCUGCUCUCAACAUAAUUAUUACCUCCUCUACAACAUUUACUAUAAACAAUACCUUUCUGAUUGAUAUUAAUGAUCUAUUAUUAAUUAUCCAGCAUGCUUUUUCAUACAACAUUCGUGAAAUAACUGGUGCACGUUUCCCCAUUUAUCUCCCUGCUUCAGCUGAGGUUUUGUUGCUGUUGUCUGGGGUCUCCUUGCAUUUUGAUCAUUAAAAAUACACUGAUAUUGAGAGAUAUUUGCAUGCGCACACACACACAGACACACACACACACAUAUACAUGCACGCACACACACACACACACGCGCACACACAUACAUGCACGCACACACACACACGCACGCACGCACACACAAAUCUAUCAGCUCUUGCUGCAGGCAGAUUUUAUCGCUCUUUAUUUCUCAAGCCUUCAGCUCCAUAAGACUUUUUGUUUCGUCUGAAUUAUACCUCAUGCAAUUGCAUCUGAAGGAAGGAAAAAUAAUCUAAAAAUAAUAAUAAUUUUAGAUUGUUUUGGAGGCCGAGAAGAGAAGCAGCUGAGAUCUUAUAGUAAUCUCAUUUGAAGACAUCUUCAGAUGUACUGGAGAUAAAAGAGACUUUACCAAAAGCAUGUAGAGAUCUACUUUUUUUGGAUUGCACUGAACCAUCUGUGAGCCUUCCAAGGAUUUCUCCUGGCAGAAACCGGCUAGGCCUUAAUCCUCGUGCU